AUUGAACGCUGGCGGCAGGCCUAACACAUGCAAGUCGAGCGGAGCGGCGGACGGGUGAGUAAUGCUUAGGAAUCUGCCUGGGAGUGGGGGAUAAGGUCCGGAAACGGGCGCUAAUACCGCAUACUAUCAGAUGAGCCUAGGUCGGAUUAGCUAGUUGGUGGGGUAAAGGCCUACAAAGGCGACGAUCCGUAACUGGUCUGGGAGGAUGAUCAGCCACACGGGAACGGAGACACGGUCCAGACUCCGACGGGAGGCAGCAGUGGGGAAUAUGGGACAAUGGGCGAAAGCCUGAUGCAGCCAUGCCGCGUGUGUGAAGAAGGUCUUCGGAUUGUAAAGCACUUUCAGUUGGGAGGCGUUACCAGCAGAAGAAGCACCGGCUAACUUCGUGCCAGCAGCCGCGGUAAUAC
rnacentral:rRNA from 1 species